CACGUAGGAGGCGAGCGUUGUCCGGAAUCAUUGGGCGUAAAGAGCGCGCAGGCGGCUUGACAAGUCGGGUGUGAAAUCCCGGGGCUCAACCCCGGGACUGCAUUCGAUACUGUCAGGCUAGAGGUAGGUAGGGGAGAUCGGGAAUUCCUGGUGUAGCGGUGAAAGUGACGCAGAUAUCAGGAAGAACACCUAUGGCGAAGGCAGCUCUCUGGGACGGUACUGACGCUGAGACGCGAAAGCGUGGGGAGCGAACAGG
rnacentral:rRNA from 1 species